rnacentral:misc_RNA from 1 species
UUUUAAAUAGGCGAAUGCGUGUUGUACUGUUCAAAAGUAUUAAUUUUUUUAAUUUUUUCACCGUACGCACAGGGUACUUUAAGAUGUCUGAAGCUUAAAGCGUUAACUAGUGCAAGUUUUCCUUACACGUAAUGAACUAAUUUUACAGUUACUGUUGUAGAUUUUGAAUAUGUGUCUGGUAUCUAUAUGAUCAUCAGACAAGCGUUUAUUUGAUUUGACUUUCUCCAAUGUGAAUAUAAGAAAUAAAAUGCAAUGUUUAAAAGUUUAAUUACAAUGACAUUAAGAACAUGGUUGAAACUUGAUCAAAUCUUACAAGAAAUUCUCAGGUUCCACAGGAUUUCAUCAUGUGAACAACCAUGUUUAUUUUUCAGUGAAUUAUAUUUAAAUCCAUUUCUCCUGAUUUAAAACACUUGAAAUAAGAUUUAGGGUAACAUCAUCUAUAGUGCAUGGUUUUAAUGGGAGUUCAUGAUUUUGACUAUGACAUGUAUGUAGUGAUUGUCUGUCCUGGAGGGUGAGGGGUGGUUAGAAUUCAUUUUCACUCUUGUCGUAUUGUCAAGUUCCUCUUUUUAAACAUAAUUAUUAUUACAUAUAUGAAGUAACAGUCUGUCGUGAAGGAUGAGGGCUGGUUAGAAUUAAUUUUUCAUCCAUGUCAUAUUAUUGAGAUAUCUGCCUGGAUUGUUGAUAAUCUGUACAUUUACCUUUUUUGCAAGCCAACCAGAUGUUAUAUGUGAAAUGACAACAGAUGUACAUGUAUUUCAAAUGUUAUAUAAGUGCUAAUAAUUUUUAUAUGCCCUUUAAACAACAAUCAGAAAAUUACAAAUGAGCCCCAUUUUUAAUAUGUCUUUCACUUAGUUGACCAUGGGCGAUAAUAAUAGGAGCGGCGAUAAUAAAAUGGGCGAUAAUGAAAGCGAGUGUGUGUGAUUACUGGAACCAAAAAUCUGUCUUUUAAUAAUAAAAAGAGGGAUGCUACAUGUACAAUAAUUCUUCUUGGAUUUGCAAUGUUCAUCAUGCUGAUAAACAUAUUCACAAAUUUC